AGAGCGAACGCUGGCGGCGUGCUUAACACAUGCAAGUCGAGUGCGCGCCUGUAGCAAUACAGGUGGCGCACGGCGCACGGGUGCGUAACACGUGGGCAAUCUGCUCUUCGAUGGGGAAUAACCCCGGGAAACCGGGGCUAAUUCCGCAUAAUAUUCCGAUGACUAACGUCAAUGGAUUCAAAGCCGUAAGGCGUCGAAGGAGGAGCCCGCGCACGAUUAGCUAGUUGGUGAGGUAACGGCUCACCAAGGCUAUGAUCGUUA
rnacentral:rRNA from 1 species